UAAACUUUCAAACCAGGGGAGGAAGCCAUCAUUGGUUAUCAAGACGCUAUUUCUCUCAGAGCGGGAGUCCACACUGAAGUAUGACGUCCCUCCUCCUUCUUGCGUGUGUGCUGACUGCGUACCUGUAUACACCUGUGACAGGUGUGAUGCGCCUGCUUCCUGAUGGGAACCUGUCGGAAUCGGAUAUAAGUGCAUCACACAAAUGCAUGUACAUCUGUCAAAUAUGCGCCGCAGAUCUGGAGGCGUGUAUCAACUCGCAUUGCGGUGAGGACGUUGACCCAGCUGGAAUUGCCAAGAUCGUCUGCGAGUGUCAAGACCUCGAAAUGUUAAAACAAUACGUCUAACAUUCAUACCAGCGUCGACGUAGGGCUGGUGACGUCGCCUUACCUUCUUAUCUCCAUACCAAACAUUUUAUUUAUCACAGUGAUUAUAUUUGUCUAAACCAGAAAUACAUCCUAUAAAGGAGGAACUGCUUGAACAUGACCAUCUAUGACAUUUGUUAUGUGUCCAUGUUUACAUC